UGGGGAAUAUUGGGCAAUGGGCGCAAGCCUGACCCAGCAACGCCGCGUGAGGGAAGAAGGCUUUCGGGUUGUAAACCUCUGUCCUUGGGGACGAAAAAAAUGACGGUAGCCAAGGAGGAAGCCCCGGCUAACUACGUGCCAGCAGCCGCGGUAAUACGGAGGGGGCGAGCGUUGUCCGGAAUUACUGGGCGUAAAGGGUGCGUAGGUGGCCUUUUAAGUUGGAUGUGAAAUACCCGGGCUUAACUUGGGGGGUGCAUCUGAUACUGGAGGGCUAGAGUGCGGUAGAGGGAAGCGGAAUUCCUAGUGUAGCGGUGAAAUGCGUAGAUAUUAGGAGGAACACCAGUGGCGAAGGCGGCUUUCUGGACCGUAACUGACACUGAGGCACGAAAGCGUGGGGAGCAAACA
rnacentral:rRNA from 1 species